rnacentral:rRNA from 1 species
UAGAGUUUGAUCAUGGCUCAGGACGAACGCUGGCGGCGUGCUUAACACAUGCAAGUCGAACGAGAAGUCCUGCUUCGGCGGGAUGGAAAGUGGCGAACGGGUGAGUAACACGUGGGCAACCUGCCCCCGAAGUGGGGAAUAAUCUUCCUAACGGAGGACUAAUUCCGCAUAAUACGAAGGAUUCGCAUGGGUCUUUCGUUAAGGGCUUGUCUGCUUCGGGAUGGGCCCGCGCCCCAUUAGCUUGUUGGUGAGGCAAAGGCUCACCAAGGCGACGAUGGGUAGCUGGUCUGAGAGGAUGAUCAGCCACACUGGGACUGAGAUACGGCCCAGACUCCUACGGGAGGCAGCAGUGAGGAAUAUUGCGCAAUGGGCGAAAGCCUGACGCAGCAACGCCGCGUGAGCGAUGAAGCCCUUCGGGGUGUAAAGAUCUGUUAGAGGGGAUGAACCGGCAAGGUCUAACCUUGCCCUGACAGUACCCUCCGAGGAAGCACCGGCUAAUUCCGUGCCAGCAGCCGCGGUAAUACGGAAGGUGCAAGCGUUGUCCGGAUUCAUUGGGCGUAAAGGGUGUGUAGGCGGAGUGAUAAGUCGGAAGUGAAAUCUGUACCGCUUAACGGACAGUCUGCUUUCGAAACUGUCAUUCUAGAGUGCAGGAGAGGGUGAUGGAAUUCCUGGUGUAGCGGUGGAAUGCGUAGAUAUCAGGAAGAACACCGGUGGCGAAGGCGGUCACCUGGCCUGCCACUGACGCUGAAACACGAAAGCGUGGGGAGCAAGCAGGAUUAGAUACCCUGGUAGUCCACGCCGUAAACGAUGGGCACUAGGUGCCGGGCGAUUCGACCCGCUCGGUGCCGAAGCAAACGCAUUAAGUGCCCCGCCUGGGGAGU